GAUUCGACUACUCUCACAUGUGGUUCCUUUAAUGAUGAAGAAUUAGCUAGCACGAAACAUGAUAAAGAAAAAAAGGGAGCUUAUAAACGCACAGAGGCGGGCAUCUUAUCGGAAGAAAAAGGAGGGCACGACCAAACUAUAAGAUGAUGUGCGAAAUGUUCCCUGCCAUGCUCUCCGUCAUAUCACUAAUGUUGAUCCACCUUCCAAUGCGAUGUCAGGUACACUUGUGAUAUUUUGCAACGUCAUCAAUGAUAAUAUAUGUAUUCAGAAGCGUUUGGACAGGUUUGGUCCAUUUUCCUUCAUACAUUGUGAAGCUUUGUGGGAUUUCUGGUUUGUUAUUUUUACAUGAUGCAGACGACACAUCGGUCUCAUACAUGCAUUCGUGUUUGAACCAUGAAGUUCUAAGUAUGUUUUCACAACGUUGUUUAACCAGACAACCCAACUAGCUCCAGUUAUACAUCAUUCUCGCAUAAUGAUGCAACAUUUCCUCCUUCAACUGCGGUCACAUCUGGUGUCAUUCAUGGCAAAGGCCUACAAGGAGCUAUCUUGACUGACACCAAACAAACUAGGCAAAAACGUGUAGAAGAUCGCAGCAAAAGCUUAACACACGAAAAGAGAGAGUAGAAAAACGCCCAGAGGAGAGCUGCUUAUCGGAAGAAAAAAGAUCUGCUUAUCCAACAAGAAAAUCUGCCUCCCCUGUCGAUAUCAGGUAAGAUUGUUUUCUGUAUAAUGGCUCUUUGUGGUUUUUCUGGUUUGUAUUAAAUUCUGUUAGCAGUAAACUGCCUCGUUCUGUCCAAGAUUUGUUAUUUUGACAUGAUGCAGACAACUCAGCAAUCUCAUUCAUGCAUAAUGAUGCUUCAUUGCUGGCACCCAGUAAUCUCACACUGGUUUAUGCCACAGAUGUACCAAAAAGUUCGAAUGGUAUUACCCGAUCCGUCUUUGAUAUGAACUAAUUUGUGCUUACAGGGGUUCAUCUUCACAUAUUUAAACAGCUUAUGGCUUUUCUGUUGUUCCAGUAGCUCUAGAAUCUACCCAUAUCGAUGUGGGAAACGAGGUAGGGUUUAGUGCGUAUAAGACAUUUUUUAUCACUAAACGUCUUAUAGUUCUGUACAGAGGGAGUAUAUUUUAAUUUGUGCCAUACAACCAAGCACUACCUCGUGUACUUAGGCAAUUAUAUAACCAUUGAAGCGAAGGAGCAGAAGUUUUUCAUAUGCCAAUGUUCACUUGAUUGUAAAGUGUCCACAUAUUUUAACUGCUCAGUUGAUGUCGUAUGCACAAAAUUCUAACCAUUUCUUGUGGCCAGAUCAAAUCUAAAUCUACAUGAAGAAGACAUCUUGACCACAUAAUGUAUAAUCACUAAAUUAAGUGGUUCAGCUUGAAGAUAUAUGUUCAUAUGGUGUGUGUAGGACCCAACUCCAGCAACUUUGUAGCUCAGAGACAUAAUCAAAUUAAGGUGAGGAGAUGGC